CUCGUGUCGUGAGAUGUUGGGUUAAGUCCCGCAACGAGCGCAACCCCUAUCCUUUGUUGCCAGCACGCAAUGGUGGGAACUCAAAGGAGACUGCGCGGACAACGCGGAGGAAGGCGGGGAUGACGUCAAGUCAUCAUGCCCCUUAUGUCCUGGGCUACACACGUACUACAAUGGGAUGGACAGAGAGCAGCGAAGCCGCGAGGCCAAGCGAACCCCAUAAACCAUCUCCCAGUUCGGAUUGCAGGCUGAACCCGCCUGCA
rnacentral:rRNA from 1 species